GGCUCGGUGGUGUAGUUGGUUAUCACGUCAGUCUAACAUCAAAGUUAGCUUCACUGAAGGUCCCGUGUUCAAGCCACGGCUGAGUCA